CUGUUUCAUUCAGGUGAAAUAUAACUAAGUAAUCGAGAGCCCGACGAAAAUGUCUGGGAAAUAUCUAACGUAUAUCUUGCUGAUUUUUGGGUGCUGGAAUAUAGUUUUUGGCAUAGUUAUAACCUAUUUUCAAGCAUACGAACUUGAUUCAUUUUACGAUUACUACGAAGUGAAAGGUGUUAUUGGAUUUUUCAAUACGGCAGAUUUACCUGACCCAAUUUUAUAUGAACAAAAAUUUAAGAUAAAUGGCUAUUUCUUCGAGAUACUUCCUCUUGACGUCUAUAAGGGACUUUUUCCUAUUGGCAUCCUGCUGGGAGUGUCGCAUACCGGAUCGGGGAUAUUAACAUUGCUUGGUAUAAGAAACAAAUGUAAGAUAUAUUUCUCUACUGGCUUAGUUCUAAGCAGCUUUCUGCCCUACUUCAUGGUUUUCUUGUACAUGUGGAGUAAGUACGGUGG
rnacentral:sRNA from 1 species